UAGGGAAUAUUAGUAAUGGGCGAAAGCCUGAACUAGCAACGCCGCGUGUGCGAAGAAGGCCUUCGGGUUGUAAAGCACUUUUUGAGAGGAUGAGGAAGGACGGUACUCUCAGAAUAAGUCUCGGCUAACUACGUGCCAGCAGCCGCGGUAACACGUAGGAGGCGAACGUUAUCCGGAUUUACUGGGCGUAGGGCGCGUGUAGGUGGUUUGGUAAGUAGGGCGUGAAAGCUCCUGGCUCAACUGGGAGAGGCCGUUCUAAACUGCCGAACUAGAGGAUGGUAGAGGGAGGUGGAAUUCCGGGUGUAGCGGUGGAAUGCGCAGAUAUCCGGAGGAACACCAGUGGCGAAAGCGGCCUCCUGGACCACUCCUGACACUCAGACGCGAAAGCUAGGGUAGCAAACGG
rnacentral:rRNA from 1 species